rnacentral:rRNA from 1 species
UUAGGAAUAUUCGUCAAUGGGGGAAACCCUGAACGAGCAAUGCCGCGUGAGUGAUGACGGUCCUCUGGAUUGUAAAACUCUGUUGUUUAGGAAAAAUUGUAUAAGCAGGAAAUGGUUUAUGCUUGAUGGUACUAUUCAAGAAAGCCACGGCUAACUACGUGCCAGCAGCCGCGGUAAUACGUAGGUGGCGAGCGUUAUCCGGAUUUAUUGGGCGUAAAGCGUCCGCAGACGGCUUGUUAAGUCUAGAAUCAAAGCCCAGAGCUUAACUCUGGUUCGUUCUAGAAACUGGCAGGCUUGAGUAUAGUAGAGGCAAGUGGAAUUUCUAGUGUAGCGGUAGAAUGCGUAGAUAUUAGAAGGAACACCAGUGGCGAAGGCGACUUGCUGGGCUAUUACUGACGUUCAUGGACGAAAGCGUGGGGAGCAAAUAGG